GUCUGCUACCGCCGCCGAAAGAUAGGCGACAGCCGCGGCCGCUCGGCGGUGCGUAGUGAUAUUAUACGAUUCCGUAAAACCACAGCCGAGAAACGGAAUUAUCGCGUCGCGCAAGCGAGGGGGCGGCGGCAGCGGCGGCGGUGACCCGGGGAAACGACGAGAAAAACCGACGCCGCCGUCGACGAGACGGACUGUCAUCGUCCGCGGACGCCGAGCGCGCGUGUGCGCUUUUACGCGCCGCUCGAACCUUUGUUCGCGACAUUAUUUUUUAUCUAUAUGAGCGCAUACGGUCCUCUGAAAAGUUCCGGUAUGCGUAUUGAAGUUCCGGUUUGUCUGUAUAUAUAUAUAUAUAUAUAUAUAUUGGCAUAUGCGUGUGAAGUUUUUGUAGAAAUCGUAUACAUUAUAUGGUAUGAUACCGUAAUGAAGGAAUCCGCGAUCAAUCGUUUUUCCUAUGCCAUCGCAAUUUCACUCGCUCCUCGUCGCCGAAAUUCGAAUGCUUCCCAACACCAGACAGAAUUUAAUGCUCAGUAGAUUUGAACGAUUAACAAUAAAACGUAUACAAAGACUGAAUAGAAUUCAUUACCAUAACCUGGAUGUUGUUGGACGAAGAGAGCACCCCACAUCCAUACGAUUUUAAUGUACCUAGUUACAAUAACUUAACAAUAUCUUUUUUUGCUGUACUACAAUCGCGUGUUUAAUCACGGUCGUUUUGUCUAAACUGUCCGUCGUCUGGAUGAAAUCCGGAUGCCAAGCUAUUUUCUAACAAUAACCACAAAAAUGUUCGAGAGUGAUUAAUGGUGUGAGUUUGGCUUUAUUCUUCUAACGUAAGUUCCUGUGUUUGAAAUUGAAAAAAUACCUGGGCGAGAUUUGAAUAGCAGGUUUAUAUUAUACCAUAAAAUGAUAAAUAAUAAUUGACUGGAAUUUCAAUGCAAUGUGUUUUUUGUUCUGGUCCCUUUAAAAUGCAACU